GCUCCAUGAGGGAAGGAUCUGUUGUAUCUUACUGCCUUGGACCCUGUGUUAGAAUACAGCGAGUAUAGAUGAAUGAAACCCAAGGAGAGGCAUCUGAAAAUGUGAAGUCGAUGUUAAAUCUUACAGAAAACUCAAGGAGAGGACUUAGAAAAAGGUAGUUAAAUGUGUUGAUUAGGUUAUAGUUCCUUGUGAAGGUGAAAUCCAGAUAACAAGGGGUUAAGAAAUGAGUGGCUAGCCACCAACCAGGCAAAGGCAGGAAAAGCAGACUACACUUGGCAAUCUCUAGAGAUGGAUUGUGAAUGACUAAAUUUUAAUUUCAAUGUUGCGCUAGUUCGCAAUUAACAACCAUGUGUUACUUUUAUUACGAACAAGCUUUUUAAAAUGUUAAUAAGAUUUGAAAAGGAAAAGCAGCAACAAGACAGCUUGAAGGAGUAGCAGACUUAAGAAAAGGUUUUUGUAAACUGAAAAAAUCUUAAGAACAUUUGUACUUUAAAGAACCCAAAUACGACAGAGAAAAUAACUCACGCUCCACUAAGCAGGAAAAUUAGAAGGAAAGGAAAAAAACCCCAAGGUGUUAACUAAUAAGAAAGACAAAAAAAAAAAAAAAAAUUCUCCCUCUUUGACGGAAGGUUAAGAAGCCAGUAACAGAAGGAAUUUAAUGAAGGAGCUCCUGCUAAGUGCCUCAACCUCUUCUGUAAAGGGUGGGGAGAAGUGAAGAAAGUAGAAAAAGUUUAAAGUGGGCUCCACGGAAAAUGGAGGAAAAAUUAAACAAGAACUGAGUCUGGUUCUACUAAAAACGCAUUCUACAUUUCAAUCGGCCUUUCAUACACUCACCCCAUUCCUAGAUCAGAGAAUUGCCCAUAUUUUAGCUUCAAAUUUAAAAAUCUAAAUAAUUCUGGUUCACAUUCUUUAUUUCAACAACUGAAAACAAUGAGACGCAUUAAGUUACACUCUAAUUCAAAGUUUAACUCCUCUCACAAGUAAAUACAAUAAAGUAGUUGUUUUCAACUCCAGCAACAAAAUAGCGAUAAUUUCAAGUAAGAGUAACUGAAAAAUGUUCCUAAACGUAAAAGUGUUUGCAAACAGUUUUGGUUUUUUUUCUUCCUAAUUCGUUUGCCAGAAUACGAUGUUCCUGGGUUCAAAUCCCAGCUCCCUUAGACAAGUUAGUUAACCUCUUUGCGACUCGGUUUCUUCCCCUAAAACAAUGAGGAAUACAAUAAACCAGAAUCGUUGUAAGGAUUAAAUGACGUAACACAGGUGCCAAGUUCAUACUAUGUACUCUGAACAGUUUGUUAACCGCUUAAAAGAGAAAACCUGCAGGAGUUUGACCAAAUUAAAACAUCUGAGAGCAUGAAAGAGUACCACGCUCAAACGCCAGACCCUAACACACAGCAUAUUAUUUUUCUUCCCUGACGCAAGCUCAUUUUUUUUUCCUUGCCAAAUCUUUCCACUAGGAGUCUGGAAAGAGAAAAAAGGGUCCAGGCAAUCCAGCAGAAAGUUUUCCAAAACUGAAGUACGGAAUCACCAGGCCACGGAGCGGAGGCCGCGCAGGACAACAGCGUCCGGAGCCAAAUCACAAAUAUCAGCCUCGCCGCUCCGGGGCGGGGAGGUGAGCGCCUUUCCCAUUUAAGGAUUCCAGAAGCGUCCCCGGAGCGACUUUCGCCCACUCCGCAUCCCCAAACUCGGCCUGCAACCCGCGAGUGGGAGACAAAAGAGGGGCCGGCGGGGGACGCGGCGCGGGGUGCCGUGGGUCUCUGGCUGGGCGGUCCCGGCCCAGCGCGCGC
rnacentral:lncRNA from 1 species